AUUGAACGCUGGCGGCAGGCCUAACACAUGCAAGUCGAACGAGUGGCGGACGGGUGAGUAAUGUCUGGGAAACUGCCCGAUGGAGGGGGAUAACUACUGGAAACGGUAGCUAAUACCGCAUACCAUCGGAUGUGCCCAGAUGGGAUUAGCUUGUAGGUGAGGUAACGGCUCACCUAGGCGACGAUCCCUAGCUGGUCUGAGAGGAUGACCAGCCAGACUGGAACUGUGACAUGGGCCAGACUCUGACGGGGGGCAGCAGUGGGGAAGAGUGAACAAUGGGCGCAAGCCUGAUGCAUUCACGCCGCGUGGAGGAAGAAGGCCUUCGGGUUGUAAAGUACUUUCAGCGGGGAGGCGUUACCUGCAGCAGAAGCACCGGUUAACUCCGUGCCAGCAGCCGCGGUAAUUC
rnacentral:rRNA from 1 species